AAUAUAAACUUUAUAUUGUGCAGGUAUAUCAGGAUGGAUCAAGAUAGGUUAAGAAAAGCCAAUUCCAAUUCCAGCCUAAUAUUCCAUCGGGCCUAAGAAACCAGGCCGAACCCAGGCAGGGCACAGAUCGAGUAGGGCCAGGAUCUCCCUGGCGCACUUGAUGAUGCUGCAGUAACCGAAUCCCUGGAACUUCAUAAGAUAAAAAACCGGCAGUGGGCCAUCUUUAAAACUUCAGCUAUAAAAGGAGAAGGGCUAUUUGAGGGCUUAGAUUGGCUCAGUAACACUCUCAAGUCCGGAGGCUAAUUUGUGGUGCAAGGGUGUACGUCUCUCUCAAGCCCAAAAGUGAGGCUGGAUAGAAUUAUAAAUCUUGUGAAAGGACGCAAGAAGAUGAUCUUGGUUCUUCAUGCCAUGAUGGAAAAUCUCGCUGAGAUGUCUUAUAACCAAUGCUUUUUCUCACACAUGUUUGCUUGUACAAUGGUGGUUGAGUUGGAAUAUAUGUCAUUGGGACGCUAAGGACUUUCAGCAGCUGUAGAAUGGGAGCAAUUAUUGUCUGAGGGUAUAAAAUUGUUUUACAGGAUUGCCAUUGAUCAUCGAUUAUUAAUGUUCUACUUAUCUAUGGAUUAGACAAAUAACAGUGAUUCCAUUUUUAAUUAGU